rnacentral:rRNA from 1 species
AGUGAACGCUGGCGGUAGGCCUAACACAUGCAAGUCGAACGGCAGCACAGUAAGAGCUUGCUCUUACGGGUGGCGAGUGGCGGACGGGUGAGGAAUACAUCGGAAUCUACUUUUUCGUGGGGGAUAACGUAGGGAAACUUACGCUAAUACCGCAUACGACCUACGGGUGAAAGCAGGGGAUCUUCGGACCUUGCGCGACUGAAUGAGCCGAUGUCGGAUUAGCUAGUUGGCGGGGAAAAGGCCCACCAAGGCGACGAUCCGUAGCUGGUCUGAGAGGAUGAUCAGCCACACGGGAACUGAGACACGGUCCAGACUCCUACGGGAGGCAGCAGUGGGGAAUAUUGGACAAUGGGCGCAAGCCUGCUCCAGCCAUACCGCGUGGGUGAAGAAGGCCUUCGGGUUGUAAAGCCCUUUUGUUGGGAAAGAAAAGCAGCAGGUUAAUACCCCGCUGUUCUGACGGUACCCAAAGAAUAAGCACCGGCUAACUUCGUG